rnacentral:rRNA from 1 species
AACGAACGCUGGCGGCGCGCCUAAUACAUGCAAGUCGAGCGAGAAGGUGUAGCAAUACACUUGUAAAGCGGCGAACGGGUGAGGAAUGCAUGGGUAACCUACCCUCGAGUGGGGAAUAACUAGCCGAAAGGUUAGCUAAUACCGCAUACGUUUCCGGAACUUCGGUUUCGGAAAGAAAGCAAUACCGUGGGUAUUGCGCUCCUGGAUGGGCUCAUGUCCUAUCAGCUUGUUGGUGAGGUAACGGCUCACCAAGGCUUCGACGGGUAGCUGGUCUGAGAGGACGAUCAGCCACACUGGCACUGCGACACGGGCCAGACUCCUACGGGAGGCAGCAGUAAGGAAUAUUGCGCAAUGGACGAAAGUCUGACGCAGCGACGCCGCGUGGGGGAUGAAGGUCUUCGGAUUGGUAAACCCCCUUUCGGGAGGGAAGAUGGAGUGGGUAACCACUUGGACGGUACCUCCAGAAGCAGCCACGGCUAACUUCGUGCCAGCAGCCGCGGUAA